rnacentral:rRNA from 1 species
UGGGGAAUUUUGGACAAUGGGCGAAAGCCUGAUCCAGCAAUGCCGCGUGUGUGAAGAAGGCCUUCGGGUUGUAAAGCACUUUUGUCCGGAAAGAAAUCCUCUGGGUUAAUACCUCGGGGGGAUGACGGUACCGGAAGAAUAAGCACCGGCUAACUACGUGCCAGCAGCCGCGGUAAUACGUAGGGUGCAAGCGUUAAUCGGAAUUACUGGGCGUAAAGCGUGCGCAGGCGGUUUUGUAAGACGGAUGUGAAAUCCCCGGGCUUAACCUGGGAACUGCAUUCGUGACUGCAAGGCUAGAGUAUGGCAGAGGGGGGUAGAAUUCCACGUGUAGCAGUGAAAUGCGUAGAGAUGUGGAGGAAUACCGAUGGCGAAGGCAGCCCCCUGGGCCAAUACUGACGCUCAUGCACGAAAGCGUGGGGAGCAAACAGGAUUAGAUACCCUGGUAGUCCACGCCCUAAAACGAUGUCGGCUAGUUGUUGGGGAUUCAUUUCCUUAGUAACGUAGCUAACGCGUGAAGUUGACCGCCUGGGGAGUACGGUCGCAAGAUUAAAACUUAAAUGAAUUGAC